CUACGGGACAAGCUGGUAUACGCAUAGCUCAAAC
rnacentral:sRNA from 1 species